rnacentral:rRNA from 1 species
AACGAACGCUGGCGGCAUGCCUAACACAUGCAAGUCGAACGAGACCUUCGGGUCUAGUGGCGUACGGGUGCGUAACGCGUGGGAACCUGCCCUUAGGUUCGGAAUAACUCCCCGAAAGGGGUGCUAAUACCGGAUAAUGUCUUCGGACCAAAGAUUUAUCGCCUUUGGAUGGGCCCGCGUUGGAUUAGCUAGUUGGUAGGGUAAAAGCCUACCAAGGCGACGAUCCAUAGCUGGUCUGAGAGGAUGAUCAGCCACACUGGGACUGAGACACGGCCCAGACUCCUACGGGAAGCAGCAGUGGGGAAUAUUGGACAAUGGGCGAAAGCCUGAUCCAGCAAUACCGCGUGAGUGAUGAAGGCCUUAGGGUUGUAAAGCUCUUUUACCCGGGAUGAUAAUGACAGUACCGGGAGAAUAAGCUCCGGCUAACUCCGUG